GCAUAUCCUCUUGAAUGAUGCAGUGGCCACAUUCUCACAGUGAACUGUUUUUCUGUAACUCAUUCAAUUUGGAGUUCAUUUCUAGCAUUACUACUUUUUGGACUUUUUUCUGCGCUUUCAUCUUUGUUGGCCAAUUUCCUCUUUUGAGUAUCCAUUAUUGUAAACCAUCAUGUGGCUUCAUUCACAGGAAAAUCAGCAACACAACUACACGCUUUGCUGUGUAGGAACUGAACAUAUGUGCAGUGGCCAAUCAUUAGUGGACUUUGAAAGGAGAGGUGUGAUUGGUUAUUGAUCAUGCUAUGCAUCUGUUAUUUACAUAGUGAUUUGUGGACUAAAGAGCUGACAGUGAGGUUUGUACUUUGUGUAAUUGUGCACAGUUAAUAACGUUGUAGCUGAAAUUUGAACCAUGUUGUUGGGGUUCUGGUGUGAUUUAACUAAAUGGUGGUAACUAGGAUUUGUGCAUAUUGGGACCAUGCAAAGUGAGGACUAACUAUACUUCCAACCCUUACCAAGACUGAUCCAGCUGCUGCCAUUAUCAAAUGUCUGAUAUAUCUGCAACAGAGACCAACACUGAGCCCUUGAUGUGACACCAUUCCUCAAUGAGACCAACUGGCCGCUUGAUGGAAGCUGACUACCUUAGGUCUCUUCCACCCUGGAAGGGUCAGUGGUUUGAUCCCACAGGACAUAUUCAGGUUAUGAGUUUUCCUAUAUAAAUGUAAAUUGUCUAAACAUCAUUCUUUGUCACUGAAUAGAAUGCUUCAGAAUAUAUAUACUAUAAUAUUAUUUAGAAAAACAUUUAAAUAAUGUAAAAACAAUAUUAAAUAUUGAUACAUAUAUAGAACUUUUGAAGUAUUUUUUAAUAGAUUGAUUAGAUACACACUACACUCACUGCAAGGAUUCAGGUGGUGGAAAAUAAAGCAGUGAAGAUCUCUUGCUUUGCAGAAAUAUUUCUUGGAUUUCAUAUACUUUUAAGGCCAUAUUGGAAGCUGGCAAAGAUCCCACUGAGUCCUGGUUGGUAAGUAAACACAGCCUGCUUUUUAGCU
rnacentral:lncRNA from 1 species